rnacentral:rRNA from 1 species
CAGUAGCCGCGGGAAUACGUAGGGUGCAAGCGUUAAUCGGAAUUACUGGGCGUAAAGCGUGCGCAGGCGGUUAUAUAAGACAGAUGUGAAAUCCCCGGGCUCAACCUGGGAACUGCAUUUGUGACUGUAUAGCUAGAGUACGGCAGAGGGGGAUGGAAUUCCGCGUGUAGCAGUGAAAUGCGUAGAUAUGCGGAGGAACACCGAUGGCGAAGGCAAUCCCCUGUGCCUGUACUGACGCUCAUGCACGAAAGCGUGGGGAGCAAACAGGAUUAGAUACCCCUGUAGUCCCUGUCUCUUAUAC